rnacentral:rRNA from 1 species
UACGGAGGGUGCGAGCGUUGUCCGGAAUCACUGGGCGUAAAGGGCGCGUAGGUGGCGCGGGAAGUCAACGGUGAAAGUUCGGGGCUCAACCCUGAAUCGGCCGUCGAUACUCCCGGCUCGAGCACUGUAGAGGCAGAUGGAAUUCCGGGUGUAGCGGUGGAAUGCGUAGAGAUCCGGAAGAACACCGGUGGCGAAGGCGGUCUGCUGGGCAGUUGCUGACACUGAUGCGCGACAGCGUGGGGAGCAAACAGG